rnacentral:lncRNA from 1 species
GGGAGGAGUCAUUUGCGCAUACUGCUUGAUAAUUAUCUGCACAAAGAACGUGCAUCUUGUGAAGACUGCUGCAUUUGAUUGAAGGCUUGGCAACUUGUGAAAUCUGCCGUGAUAGGCUUGGCAUCCUGUGAAGAGUGUUGGUUACACGUUGAGGACUGUUUGACGUGGGUGUAGAUUGUAGAAAAGGAGAUUCUUGCUGCAAUUCUGGUUUUUGUGUGUGUAUCUAUAUUUGGUUUUGGGUUACAGAGGAGAUUUAUAUUUUUGCUUGGUGCUUGUAUAAAUUCCUUGUUGUAAAAACGCAACCAUUAUAGUGCAUUUGCUUCCUGGGUUGGAAGGACACUGGAUGUAGGUAUUGUUGGCCGAACCAGUAUAAAAACCAGUGUUUGUUUUUCUCUAUCCCUGCACUCUUUAUUUCCAGUCGACUUUAUCUGUUUAGCGGUCAACUGCAUUUUUCCGCUGCAUUGAAUUUUCAUUACUUGCAUUUCAAGAAAGAUUAAAAAGCUUUGCAUUUUCAUAUUAAGAUUGCUAAAAGAUUUUGUUUUUGAACUAACACCAAUUCACCCCCCUCC